GUGUGAAGGAGGUUUUGUAUGGAGACUUCACCAGAAUGAAUCACUGUGGUGGACUUUUGGAAGCGGAACAAAACUGGUGCUGAAAACUGGUUCCUCUGUCAGGCCCACAGUGUCUCUGCCCACCCCAUCCUCUGAGCAGCUCUCCGGGGGCUCGGCCACACUGGCCUGCCUGCUGAGCUGCUACUCCCUCCAGGGGGCGAUGGUGAGCUGGGAGGUAGAUGGGUUGAUUUAAUCAUGAUUCCAGUGAUCACUAUCUCAUGAAUAGGCAGCACAUUUCAUACUAAUUUAGAUCAAUCAGCUUCUUCCAUUAUUUCAGCAUUGUAGCAUAUAGCUACUCUCAUGUUUUGUAACAGAAUUUAAAGGGCAUCUGAUCCACAAAUACUCUGCAAUAAUUUCUACAACUGAAUGAUCCUGUUAUACUGUAGCAUCAAUACCAGUGAUGAUAAUUAGUGAUAUUUGAUAAUAAACCUCUAAGAUCUGCUCUCAGAACUCACACUGCUAAAUAGUUACUUUCCAUUACAUACUGUACAUAUUUAUCAUGUUUAAUUCCUAUGAUUUCAUUAAAUUAGAUGUUUUAGUAAUGGUUUUCAACAAUGUGUGGUCUAAACUUUUCCAUUAUAUUCCCCCAAGUCUUCUCUACCUCCAACCCCAUGGGGACAGAGUGAACAUCUGGUGACAGUGCUGCUCUAUUUUGGGACAAACUGAACCACCCAGCCCUGUCUAUGUAAAUCUUAGUUUCCCUCCCACAGCUACCAGUAUAGCAGUUGAACAGUUUCACGGCCUGAAACACCCUGGACUGGGCCAGAUGUGAGGGAGUGAACUGGUUUUAACCUCUAUGGUGGAUUCAAAGAGGGAGAAACAAUAGAUACAGUAUACAGUCAUGUAAUUAAUGGCAGAUAAAAUAGACAUGUUACUUUACGUAGAUAGUGUAUGUAGUGUACGUAUGCCUAUGGCUCUAGUUAGACCUUUUCGCUCAUGUGCGCUUUAAUUAGAAUGGAUUUAUUUCUAAGUGCUUUAAUAUUUAUUUAUUCCUAUUGUGUGUUGUGUUUUGGUUGAUUUCUUAUUUACUUAUUUGAUUGACUUCCUUUGAAUUGGUUAACACCUUUUGAGUGCUCUUCUUGUUGAGUGAAUGAGGGAAUGAGUGUGUUAGUUAGGGACCUGAGCCACGACCCCCACACUUGAGGAGUAUUGGGGUUAAUGAACUGCCCAUGUACAAAGGCAGCUCUCAGACAGUGUUCAGGAGAUUCAAGCAAGCAACGGGAGAGGACAGGUGCCACAGGCUGUGCUCAGCCACACCACUACCACUGCUGCAUCUGGGGAGAGGAGACCGGAUGAGUGUGACUCUGCUCGGGAAGAGCCGAACGGAACGACCCUACUUGGGAUGAAGAGCCGAACGACGUGUGAGUGAGUACCAAUGGUUUCCAGUAUGAUGACGUUACUGAUUAAGCUUUCUCUGCCCUCCAGACAUGGCCUGCUACAACAAGACCGCUGAGGCCACGACUACCGCAUCGGAAUCCCAUGAUGUCAACGCUGAAGUUACGAAUGCUCCAUGACUAACAACUAUGGACUCUAGCGUGUAGGCCUAUGUGGUGGCCGGGCCUGUCCUUGUGUUUUGUUCUGUGUUGCUUUUAUCCUGCAACCCCCUUUUUAAUACUGAGAAAAUAUAUUAAAGAGCAAUUAACACUGUC